UACAGAGGGUGCAAACGUGUUCGGAUUUACUGGGCGUAAAGCGCGUGUAGGCUGCUUCGCAAGUCGGAUGUGAAAGCCCUGGGCUCAACCCAGGAAGUGCAUUCGAAACUGCAGAGCUGGAGUCCUGGAGAGGAAGGCGGAAUUCCUGGUGUAGAGGUGAAAUUCGUAGAUAUCAGGAGGAACACCAGUGGCGAAGGCGCUUCUGGACCAUAACUGACGCUGAGGCACGAAAGCGUGGGUAGCAAACAGG
rnacentral:rRNA from 1 species